GGUUAAGCGACUAAGCGUACACGGUGGAUGCCCUGGCAGUCAGAGGCGAUGAAGGACGUGCUAAUCUGCGAUAAGCGUCGGUAAGGUGAUAUGAACCGUUAUAACCGGCGAUUUCCGAAUGGGGAAACCCAGUGUGAUUCGUCACACUAUCAUUAACUGAAUCCAUAGGUUAAUGAGGCGAACCGGGGGAACUGAAACAUCUAAGUACCCCGAGGAAAAGAAAUCAACCGAGAUUCCCCCAGUAGCGGCGAGCGAACGGGGAGCAGCCCAGAGCCUGAAUCAGUGUGUGUGUUAGUGGAAGCGUCUGGAAAGGCGUGCGAUACAGGGUGACAGCCCCGUACACAAAAAUGCACAUGCUGUGAGCUCGAUGAGUAGGGCGGGACACGUGGUAUCCUGUCUGAAUAUGGGGGGACCAUCCUCCAAGGCUAAAUACUCCUGACUGACCGAUAGUGAACCAGUACCGUGAGGGAAAGGCGAAAAGAACCCCGGCGAGGGGAGUGAAAAAGAACCUGAAACCGUGUACGUACAAGCAGUGGGAGCACGCUUAGGCGUGUGACUGCGUACCUUUUGUAUAAUGGGUCAGCGACUUAUAUUCUGUAGCAAGGUUAACCGAAUAGGGGAGCCGAAGGGAAACCGAGUCUUAACUGGGCGUUAAGUUGCAGGGUAUAGACCCGAAACCCGGUGAUCUAGCCAUGGGCAGGUUGAAGGUUGGGUAACACUAACUGGAGGACCGAACCGACUAAUGUUGAAAAAUUAGCGGAUGACUUGUGGCUGGGGGUGAAAGGCCAAUCAAACCGGGAGAUAGCUGGUUCUCCCCGAAAGCUAUUUAGGUAGCGCCUCGUGAAUUCAUCUCCGGGGGUAGAGCACUGUUUCGGCAAGGGGGUCAUCCCGACUUACCAACCCGAUGCAAACUGCGAAUACCGGAGAAUGUUAUCACGGGAGACACACGGCGGGUGCUAACGUCCGUCGUGAAGAGGGAAACAACCCAGACCGCCAGCUAAGGUCCCAAAGUCAUGGUUAAGUGGGAAACGAUGUGGGAAGGCCCAGACAGCCAGGAUGUUGGCUUAGAAGCAGCCAUCAUUUAAAGAAAGCGUAAUAGCUCACUGGUCGAGUCGGCCUGCGCGGAAGAUGUAACGGGGCUAAACCAUGCACCGAAGCUGCGGCAGCGACGCUUAUGCGUUGUUGGGUAGGGGAGCGUUCUGUAAGCCUGUGAAGGUGUACUGUGAGGUAUGCUGGAGGUAUCAGAAGUGCGAAUGCUGACAUAAGUAACGAUAAAGCGGGUGAAAAGCCCGCUCGCCGGAAGACCAAGGGUUCCUGUCCAACGUUAAUCGGGGCAGGGUGAGUCGACCCCUAAGGCGAGGCCGAAAGGCGUAGUCGAUGGGAAACAGGUUAAUAUUCCUGUACUUGGUGUUACUGCGAAGGGGGGACGGAGAAGGCUAUGUUGGCCGGGCGACGGUUGUCCCGGUUUAAGCGUGUAGGCUGGUUUUCCAGGCAAAUCCGGAAAAUCAAGGCUGAGGCGUGAUGACGAGGCACUACGGUGCUGAAGCAACAAAUGCCCUGCUUCCAGGAAAAGCCUCUAAGCAUCAGGUAACAUCAAAUCGUACCCCAAACCGACACAGGUGGUCAGGUAGAGAAUACCAAGGCGCUUGAGAGAACUCGGGUGAAGGAACUAGGCAAAAUGGUGCCGUAACUUCGGGAGAAGGCACGCUGAUAUGUAGGUGAAGCGACUUGCUCGUGG
rnacentral:rRNA from 1 species